GAAAACAUUUAUUAUACCCAUAUCACACUCACAUAUGCAUGUUAGGAUUUGUUUUGUUUGUUUGUUUUUGACACAGGGCCUCUAUGUUGUCCUGGAACUUGCUAUAUAAACCAGACGGGCCUAUGUGCUUCUUUCUCCUGAGUGCUGGGCUUAAAGGCAUGUACCACCAUUUCUGGCUAUAUCAAAAGGUUUUAAAGUUCAAUUUCCAGCAACCACAUGGUGGCUCACAACCAUCUGUAAUGGGAUCUGAUGCCCUCUUCUGGUGUGUCUGAAGAGAGCAAUGGUGUACUCAGAUAUACAAAAUAAAUAAAUCUAAAAAAAAGAAAAAAGAUAAAACAAGAAACAAAAAAAAAGUUUUAAAUCUAGGAGGAAUAUAUAUUUAGUAUAUAUUUUUACUAUGAAUAUAUUUUCCAAGAAAUAAACUAAUGAAAAUUUGGCAUAAACAGAAAUUAUAGGUUAUACUGGUUAAAAUGGCUAGUAGUAUGUUCCAUUUUUAUCAAAUAAAACAUUUGUCAGUAAAAAUGUAAGAGACUUGAACAGCUUUCAAAGAAUAGCAUAGCCUAGUAAGUCACCAAUAAAGUUGAAAAUUCAUUACUCAUUAAAGAAAUACAACUAAAACUAAGGACACCACUAUGCAUGUUUAUUCUUGAGAUCCAUCAACUCAUAAACGUAAUUAGUAGUAAAUAUGUAUGUUUACAAGGUGACUUAGGUAUUUUUAUAGGUUGUGAGCUCUGUAGAGAAACAGACCAGUAGGAAAGCAAGGAAUAAAAGAUAGAACAAUAGAAGUAGAGACAAAGAAACAUGCAGAGAUUUAGCUUGAUUUGGCUUGUGACAUACAUGAAUACAGAUGGAAAGCCAAAAAAAGGUCCUGGUAAAAUGUAUAUGUACUAAUAAACUUUGGGGGAGUGGUCAGGCUGGCUAGAAAAGAGCACUAUGAUGAUUUGGUAUUAUGAUCACACCUUCAUAUCUUGACCAUCAAAGUCAGGUAUAUAAACAGGUGAAAUUCCAUAGAUAUGGAUAUAUAUCCCAUGGCACACUUUUAGAAUGGUUAUCCUUCUUAAUCCUUCUUGUUAACUGUUACUUAACAAACUAAUCAGGAGUACAGAUUUAAGGUGGUUACUAUUAGCUUUCAUGAGUCUGAGCCUGAUUUCAUUACCUGAGUAGUGAUUCUUAUACUUACUGACCUAAGGUCUCUCUGAUAUUAAGUAUAGUCAUAAUUGAAUAAAUCACAUGAAGUCUAAACAUUGUUGGUUGCUAUGCCUCUUUUCAUGUCCAUAUUGUCUUGGGGCUUUUCCAUGUGUUCUCCAGAUGAUUGCUUUCUUUUGUGUGUGUGUGUGUCGCUAUGUGUCUGUGUAUAGAUAUGUGCACAUGAGUGCAGGUGCCCAUAGAGGCAAGGGAUUCCCUUGCCUGGCAGUGGUGGUUCAUGCCUUUAUCAAGGGAUACAGUUCCCCUGUAUAGCAUAGUUGGUAGUGAGUCACUCUUUAGAGAUGCUGGGAACUGAACUCAGAUCCUCUGGAAGAGCUGUAUGUGCUCUUAACCUUCGAUCCAUUUCUCACAGUCUUCCAAAUUAUUUUUCUUUUUUCAAACUAAAACAUUCUUCAUAGAAUACAUUUUGAUCCUGUUUUUUCCCUUCCCUCAACUCCUCCCAGAUCUUCCCCACCAACCUACUCAUCUUUGUUCUUCCUCUCAUUCUUUUGAAAAAAAAAAUCAAUGC
rnacentral:lncRNA from 1 species